AUACUCUGGUUUCUCUUCAGAUCAGAUAAAUCUUUCACCUUUUACUAAAGAUUUUCCGUGGAGAGGAAAAACUCUGAGUCUUUGACGAAUUUUUUGAGGCUUUGCACUUGGAUAAAAAA
rnacentral:snRNA from 1 species